GGCCUCACCUGCAGUACUGAAUCCAGAUGUGGAGUCUUCAGUACAGGAGAGAUGUGGACCUGUUGGAGUGCAUCCAAAGAAGGGCCACAAAAUGGAUCCAAGGAGUGGAACACCUUAAGUGUCCCUUCCAACUCUGAUUCUCUGAUUGCAUUCUUCAGAUGUUGUGCAGAGUGGUUGGUUCUGCAUGAAGUGUGUGGAGAGCUGGAGAGACCAAAAUGGACUGAAGGGCCAGGAUAGCACGUUGUGGUCCUGUAGACAUUCCCAGGUCUGGACGUUUUCAAGGGCAAAGUUUUGGAGGCAUCCUGCUUGGUACACGAACAUUUCAAAUUUACUAAGUGAAGUACAAAGCUUGUGAACCUUUAGAUCAUUGACAAAGAGAUUAACCCCUUUGUGGACAAAUGGGAAGAAGAAGGACAGUUCCCAGCACAUAAAGUGUUUAAAACCCUGGGCCAAGCUGGAUUCCUUGGUGUGGAUAAGCCAACAGGAGCUCUGCAGUUGCAUUUUACAAAAGCUUUAAAAAACUGGAAAAAUUCCUCAGUGCUACUUUGUCGUUCUCAUCUGAUCUUCUGGAGCAAGAUGUUAUUAGCUGCAGAAAAAGAAACAGCUUCUGCAAGAUUCAACUGAGCAGUAGGAGCCCGGACCCAGCUUUUCUUUACCAUUGUAAUGAUGCAGUAACAUCAGGCACAUCUUGAAAUUCUUGAAUGGGAUGAUCAGUGAAACAGUCAGAUGGGUAACAUCACCCUCUCAACAGAACUUAUUUUGGCAAAGCAUGAAAUUCUUCAUCUUUUUUUUUUUUCAGAGUGCUUAUGCUUACUGUGUAACCAGUGUGUGUACUGGUAGCAGUAAUUA